GCUCGACGUAUCCAACGUGCCACGACGUGCUUGGCGUUCCUGUUGACUACAGCACGUGCCAUCGCGACUUAAAUGGUAAGACACCGGACACCGGGCAGCAGAAAACAGGAGAAAGAGGCAAAGGGCCCCCUUUGUUCGGGAAUAAAUGCGUCUACUUCUACCCGAAUGGCGUCUGGCGUAACUGCAGCCAGAAGAAACGAACCUAACCACGCAGCCUAACUCUAAGAAGAAAAUCGAGUUCGAAGGACGAGGCAGGGAACGAUGCCGGCCGGCGGAGAGUUACACGAGGUACACCAUAGCAACUGUUUCCGUCGAGGAAGGUCCGCGAAAUCAUCGCUGGAAGCCACGGAGGAACGGGAAUUUCGCGGGCGACCCAACCCGGAAACGCGGCCGUUGCAGAUGGUAUCGCGGCACAUCCGGUCGCGGUUGCGCGACUGUGACUUCCAUCGAUGUGUCGGCGCAGAAGCAGCAUCGGGGAAAGGAGAGAAAGAGGAACACGGAGGGUGAAAGAGAGCCUGACCGCACCGUUAGUCAUUGGCUGCUAACACGGCAAAACCAACUCCUUUCCAGCGUGGGUCGUACGAGUAUUUAAUAGGAAGCAAUGAGCAACAGGUCCAACCGAGACUCGCUUGGGUUACGCCCAUUCGAACGUGUUCCCGGUCUUGGGACCGCAAUUUUCUCUUUAUCGGCGUGGCUUUUCUCCCUUCUACGAACUAAGCCGAGGAAACGGAAGCCGAGCUUUUGAUCCGCCACCGGAAGCU